AUUCACUGUGAUGGCUGACCAGGGCUCCCUGACCUAUACCGGCUUCUCUGCUGUGGGGAUGAUGGGCAAGUCCUGGUGUCUGAGUGAUU